GGAGAUGUACCCAAGUGGUUGAAGGGUCCGCACUCGAAAUGCGGUAGGUCGCGCAAGCGGCGCCGGGGUUCAAAUCCCCGCAUCUCCG
rnacentral:tRNA from 1 species